rnacentral:rRNA from 1 species
ACGGCUCAGUAACACGUGGACAACCUACCCAAGAGUCAGGGAUAACCCCGGGAAACUGGGGAUAAUACCUGAUAGGCCACGACAUCUGGAAUUGAGUUGUGGUUUAAACGUAAGGCUCUUGGAUGGGUCUGCGGCGGAUUAGGUUGUUGCCGGUGUAACGUACCAGCAAGCCUGUAAUCCGUACGGGUUGUGGGAGCAAGAGCCCGGAGAUGGAUUCUGAGACACGAAUCCAGGCCCUACGGGGCGCAGCAGGCGCGAAAACUCUACAAUGCAGGCAACUGCGAUAGGGGAACAUCGAGUGGCACCCACCAUGGGUGUCUGUCCAAUCGUCUAAAAAACGAUUGUCAGCAAGGGCCGGGCAAGACCGGUGCCAGCCGCCGCGGUAAUACCGGCGGCUCGAGUGGUGGCCGAUAUUAUUGAGUCUAAAGGGUCCGUAGCCGGCUUUGCAAGUCCCCUGGGAAAUCCAGCGGCUUAACCGUUGGGCUUUCAUGGGAUACUACAUUGCUUGGGACUGGGAGAGGUAGGAGGUACUCAGGGGGUAGGGGUGAAAUCCUGUAAUCCUUUGGGGACCACCGGUGGCGAAGGCGUCCUACCAGAACAGGUCCGACGGUGAGGGACGAAAGCUAGGGGCACGAACCGGAUUAGAUACCCGGGUAGUCCUAGCCGUAAACGAUGCUCGCUAGGUGUCACGGCAGUCGUGAAUUGUCGUGGUGCCGUAGGGAAGCCGUGAAGCGAGCCACUUGGGAAGUACGACCGCAAGGUUGAAACUUAAAGGAAUUGGCGGGGGAGCAC